UACGUAGGGCGCAAGCGUUAUCCGGAAUUAUUGGGCGUAAAGAGCUCGUAGGCGGUUUGUCGCGUCUGCCGUGAAAGUCCGGGGCUCAACCCCGGAUCUGCGGUGGGUACGGGCAGACUAGGGUGCAGUAGGGGAGACUGGAAUUCCUGGUGUAGCGGUGGAAUGCGCAGAUAUCAGGAGGAACACCGGUGGCGAAGGCGGGUCUCUGGGCCGUUACUGACGCUGAGGAGCGAAAGCGUGGGGAGCGAACAGG
rnacentral:rRNA from 1 species